AUGUGCCACGCGUCCACUCCGGCUCCUCCGCGCUGUCGUAUCCGCCCGACAACUGCUCGCUACGUGUUGUUAGCC
rnacentral:sRNA from 1 species